rnacentral:lncRNA from 1 species
CACCCACGGAGGUUCACAGAGGAGGAUGAGUUGACAUUUCCUGGGUGGGCGAGAAAGGUGCCUGCCAGGCUUCAAAGGAAUCGGGUCAGGCCUUGACCCACACGCAGAAAAAUCAUCAACGUCAGAUGGAGACAGGCUGAAAUGAUUUUCAGAGGGGAGAAGAUGAUCCAGCACAGCCAGCUCUGCUGGUAGCCUUUAAAAAUGGGGCAAAGUGACAGGCAGCAUGGGGAGGGGGCACCUGACCAUGGAAGAAAGCGAAGACAUGUUUGAAGAAGGAUCCCCAAAGGUGAUAUUAUCCCAAACACUUCUUAUGAAAGGAAUGUGACCCGCCAUGGCAAGUCAAAUGGCCAUCUUUGCCAUUUGCAGAAUUGUCAUGACUUUUUUAUAAGUCAGCCUAUU